rnacentral:rRNA from 1 species
AAAUUGAAGAGUUUGAUCAUGGCUCAGAUUGAACGCUGGCGGCAGGCCUAACACAUGCAAGUCGAACGGUAGCACAGAGAGCUUGCUCUCGGGUGACGAGUGGCGGACGGGUGAGUAAUGUCUGGGAAACUGCCUGAUGGAGGGGGAUAACUACUGGAAACGGUGGCUAAUACCGCAUAACGUCGCAAGACCAAAGAGGGGGACCUUCGGGCCUCUUGCCAUCAGAUGUGCCCAGAUGGGAUUAGCUUGUUGGUGAGGUAACGGCUCACCAAGGCGACGAUCCCUAGCUGGUCUGAGAGGAUGACCAGCCACACUGGAACUGAGACACGGUCCAGACUCCUACGGGAGGCAGCAGUGGGGAAUAUUGCACAAUGGGCGCAAGCCUGAUGCAGCCAUGCCGCGUGUAUGAAGAAGGCCUUCGGGUUGUAAAGUACUUUCAGCGGGGAGGAAGGUGUUGUGGUUAAUAACCACAGCAAUUGACGUUACCCGCAGAAGAAGCACCGGCUAACUCCGUGCCAGCAGCCGCGGUAAUACGGAGGGUGCAAGCGUUAAUCGGAAUUACUGGGCGUAAAGCGCACGCAGGCGGUCUGUCAAGUCGGAUGUGAAAUCCCCGGGCUCAACCUGGGAACUGCAUUCGAAACUGGCAGGCUUGAGUCUUGUAGAGGGGGGUAGAAUUCCAGGUGUAGCGGUGAAAUGCGUAGAGAUCUGGAGGAAUACCGGUGGCGAAGGCGGCCCCCUGGACAAAGACUGACGCUCAGGUGCGAAAGCGUGGGGAGCAAACAGGAUUAGAUACCCUGGUAGUCCACGCCGUAAACGAUGUCUACUUGGAGGUUGUGCCCUUGAGGCGUGGCUUCCGGAGCUAACGCGUUAAGUAGACCGCCUGGGGAGUACGGCCGCAAGGUUAAAACUCAAAUGAAUUGACGGGGGCCCGCACAAGCGGUGGAGCAUGUGGUUUAAUUCGAUGCAACGCGAAGAACCUUACCUGGUCUUGACAUCCACAGAACUUUCCAGAGAUGGAUUGGUGCCUUCGGGAACUGUGAGACAGGUGCUGCAUGGCUGUCGUCAGCUCGUGUUGUGAAAUGUUGGGUUAAGUCCCGCAACGAGCGCAACCCUUAUCCUUUGUUGCCAGCGAUUAGGUCGGGAACUCAAAGGAGACUGCCAGUGAUAAACUGGAGGAAGGUGGGGAUGACGUCAAGUCAUCAUGGCCCUUACGACCAGGGCUACACACGUGCUACAAUGGCGCAUACAAAGAGAAGCGACCUCGCGAGAGCAAGCGGACCUCAUAAAGUGCGUCGUAGUCCGGAUUGGAGUCUGCAACUCGACUCCAUGAAGUCGGAAUCGCUAGUAAUCGUGGAUCAGAAUGCCACGGUGAAUACGUUCCCGGGCCUUGUACACACCGCCCGUCACACCAUGGGAGUGGGUUGCAAAAGAAGUAGGUAGCUUAACCUUCGGGAGGGCGCUUACCACUUUGUGAUUCAUGACUGGGGUGAAGUCGUAACAAGGUAACCGUAGGGGAACCUGCGGUUGGAUCACCUCCUUACCUGAAAGAAGC